rnacentral:piRNA from 1 species
AGAGUGUGCUGAGGACAGAUGGCGGA